rnacentral:rRNA from 1 species
AAUCAGUAUGUGUGUUAGUGGAAGCGUCUGGAAAGGCGCGCGAUACAGGGUGACAGCCCCGUACACAAAAAUGCACAUGCUGUGAGCUCGAUGAGUAGGGCGGGACACGUGGUAUCCUGUCUGAAUAUGGGGGGACCAUCCUCCAAGGCUAAAUACUCCUGACUGACCGAUAGUGAACCAGUACCGUGAGGGAAAGGCGAAAAGAACCCCGGCGAGGGGAGUGAAAAAGAACCUGAAACCGUGUACGUACAAGCAGUGGGAGCACGCUUAGGCGUGUGACUGCGUACCUUUUGUAUAAUGGGUCAGCGACUUAUAUUCUGUAGCAAGGUUAACCGAAUAGGGGAGCCGAAGGGAAACCGAGUCUUAACUGGGCGUUAAGUUGCAGGGUAUAGACCCGAAACCCGGUGAUCUAGCCAUGGGCAGGUUGAAGGUUGGGUAACACUAACUGGAGGACCGAACCGACUAAUGUUGAAAAAUUAGCGGAUGACUUGUGGCUGGGGGUGAAAGGCCAAUCAAACCGGGAGAUAGCUGGUUCUCCCCGAAAGCUAUUUAGGUAGCGCCUCGUGAAUUCAUCUCCGGGGGUAG